rnacentral:rRNA from 1 species
UUACCCACUCCCGGCACGGGGAGGUAGUGACGAAAAAUAACGAUACGGGACUCAUCCGAGGCCCCGUAAUCGGAAUGAGUACACUCUAAACCCUUUAACNNGGAUCAAUUGGAGGGCCAGUCUGGUGCCAGCAGCCGCGGUAAUUCCAGCUCCAAUAGCGUAUAUUAAAGUUGUUGCGGUUAAAAAGCUCGUAGUCGAAUUUUGUGUCUCGUGCCGCUGGUUCAUCGUCCGCGGUGUUAACUGGCGAGUCGCGAGACGUCCUGCCGGUGGGCUUAGCUCGCAAGGGCGGCCCAACUCAAUCCUGCCGCGGUGCUCUUCAUUGAGUGUCGAGGUGGGCCGGCACGUUUACUUUGAACAAAUUAGAGUGCUUAAAGCAGGCUAAAACUUCGCCUGAAUACUGUGUGCAUGGAAUAAUGGAAUAGGACCUCGGUUCUAUUUUGUUGGUUUUCGGAACCCCGAGGUAAUGAUUANUAGGAACGGAUGGGGGCAUUCGUAUUGGGACGUNAGAGGUGAAAUUCUUGGAUCGUCGCAAGANNNACAGAAGCGAAAGCAUUUGCCAAAAACGCUUUCAUUGAUCAAGAACGAAAGUUAAAGGUUCGAAGGCGAUCAGAUACCGCCCUAGUUUUAACUGUAAACGAUGCCAGCBAGCGAUCCGUCGACGUUCCUCCGAUGACUCGACGGGCAGCUUCCGGGAAACCAAAGCUUUUGGGUUCCGGGGGAAGUAUGGUUGCAAAGCUGAAACUUAAAGGAAUUGACGGAAGGGCACCACCAGGAGUGGNGCCUGCGGCUUAAUUUGACUCAACACGGGAAACCUCACCAGGCCCGGACACCGGAAGGAUUGACAGAUUGAGAGCUCUUUCUUGAUUCGGUGGGUGGUGGUGCA